rnacentral:tRNA from 1 species
AGGGCAGUAGCUCUAAUGGUAGAGCGGCGGUCUCCAAAACCGCAUGUUGGGGGUUCGAAUCCCUCCUGCCCUGCCA